AACACUAUACUUUCAGGGAUCAUUUCUAUAGUUCUUGACUGGAGAAAUGUGUUUCUAAAGUGUUUGGUCUCGCUAACCACGAUGAAGAGUUGUGAUGUUCCUUCCUGAGUGUGAAGUGGACAGAGACUCAUGACUCACUUCAUAUGUUCUCUUUCAUUGAUGACUGUUCUUGGUGCUGUUGGGGGACCCAUCACUACAAUAGAGCU